rnacentral:tmRNA from 1 species
GGGGCCGACUGGUCUCGACGGCAAGACGGAGGGUCUGGAAGAGCGGGCCGAGGUCGUCCGAACCUCGUUAAACGCGGACACAAACAUAAACGUCAACAAUAAUAACUACGCACUGGCUGCGUAAAGCAGUCACGUUCCUUCCGGAAGCUGCCGCCGCUGCUGGACGGAACGACAAAAAUGGCGGAUGCUUUUCGGAGUCUGUCUCCAGCUCCGGAAAAAAGACAAGGGGACUUGGGCGAAAAAAUCCUGUUUCCGGGAGUUUUGAGCCGACACUAAAUCGGAAACUACGCCAGUAGCGCUUCCACGGCUGGCCCUUGUCGGACGGGGGUUCGAUUCCCCCCGGCUCCACCA